GCGGACGUGGUGUAUGGUGCACUGCUGCAUUGCAUGGAGGGGAACUACCAUGAUCUCUAUAUCUGCGGUCGGACGGGGUUCGACUCCCCGCGUCCGUC